rnacentral:pre_miRNA from 1 species
CUAUUACUCCCUCCGUCCAAAAAUACUUGUCAUCAAAAUGGAUAAAAAGAUAUGUAUCUAGAACUAAAAUAUGUCUAGAUACAUCCCCUUUUAUUCAUUUUGAUGACAAGUAUUUCCGGACGGAGGGAGUAUUUC